rnacentral:rRNA from 1 species
AGAGUUUGAUUCUGGCUCAGAACGAACGCUGGCGGCGUGGAUAAGACAUGCAAGUCGAACGAGAGAAUUGCUAGCUUGCUAAUAAUUCUCUAGUGGCGCACGGGUGAGUAACACGUGAGUAACCUGCCCCCGAGAGCGGGAUAGCCCUGGGAAACUGGGAUUAAUACCGCAUAGUAUCGAAAGAUUAAAGCAGCAAUGCGCUUGGGGAUGGGCUCGCGGCCUAUUAGUUAGUUGGUGAGGUAACGGCUCACCAAGGCGAUGACGGGUAGCCGGUCUGAGAGGAUGUCCGGCCACACUGGAACUGAGACACGGUCCAGACACCUACGGGUGGCAGCAGUCGAGAAUCAUUCACAAUGGGGGAAACCCUGAUGGUGCGACGCCGCGUGGGGGAAUGAAGGUCUUCGGAUUGUAAACCCCUGUCAUGUGGGAGCAAAUUAAAAAGAUAGUACCACAAGAGGAAGAGACGGCUAACUCUGUGCCAGCAGCCGCGGUAAUACAGAGGUCUCAAGCGUUGUUCGGAAUCACUGGGCGUAAAGCGUGCGUAGGCUGUUUCGUAAGUCGUGUGUGAAAGGCGCGGGCUCAACCCGCGGACGGCACAUGAUACUGCGAGACUAGAGUAAUGGAGGGGGAACCGGAAUUCUCGGUGUAGCAGUGAAAUGCGUAGAUAUCGAGAGGAACACUCGUGGCGAAGGCGGGUUCCUGGACAUUAACUGACGCUGAGGCACGAAGGCCAGGGGAGCGAAAGGGAUUAGAUACCCCUGUAGUCCUGGCAGUAAACGGUGCACGCUUGGUGUGCGGGGAAUCGACCCCCUGCGUGCCGGAGCUAACGCGUUAAGCGUGCCGCCUGGGGAGUACGGUCGCAAGAUUAAAACUCAAAGGAAUUGACGGGGACCCGCACAAGCGGUGGAUGAUGUGGAUUAAUUCGAUGCAACGCGAAAAACCUUACCCAGCCUUGACAUGUAAUGAACAACAUGUGAAAGCAUGCGACUCUUCGGAGGCGUUACACAGGUGCUGCAUGGCCGUCGUCAGCUCGUGUCGUGAGAUGUUGGGUUAAGUCCAGC